GUACCCCUUCGUGAAAAAAAAAUCCCAUAUGUCCCUCCCUUGCUCUUCUGUCUCUCUCACCCUGUCCCUCUCACCUCGCCAGCGCCAUCAGCCCGGCCACCUCCUCCAGCCGAGCUCCGUCAGCGUCUGGCCGCGCGCCACCUUGCCUGCCCGAUCUUUGCCAGCGCCUCCCCUUUCUCCUCUGUCGCUCUCUUGGUCUCUCCCCUAUCCAUCUCAGCUCGCCAGCGCCAGCCACCUCCUCCAGACGAGCUCCGCUGUUGUCCGGCCGCGCGCUGCCUCGCCUGCCCGAGCUCCGCCGGUGCCUUCCCUUUCUCGUAUGUCGUUGUUCCUGCUCUGAAGUCUUCGGCGUCGCCGCUGCACAUACUCCGAUGGCCGCGCGCCGCUACUCGAGUUCGGGAGUCCCCGCGGGGGGAGACUGGUUGAGUCCUGAGUUUUCAGGCAGGCCAACCUGGCCGACCUGCUCUCGUUGUCCUCCAACGAGGAGGUUGAUGAGGACGCCAUGAUGGAGCUCGGCGAGGCGGAUCUUUUCACAACGGAGCAGCAAGAACAGGCAGCAAUCGCCAAAUCACGCCUGCCGCCGCCGUUCCUCGAUUCCACAAAGGUCAAGGAGGAUGCGAGUGCCCUUCUUCUUGCUCCUCCUCCUGUUACUGGCCGUCGGUUCAGAUGCCGUGCCCUGAGACAGGAGGCUUCUCAGGGAUUAUGGCGGCUCGCCCCAGGCCCAGCACCCCAAUCACGAUGCUCCAAGGAAGAGAUAUAUCAGGAUUCCUAACUCCACGAUAACAAGUACCAAAGGACGCUCGGCUCCGGGAUCCACGCGCUCGUCCCCGUCGUCGACCGCAUCGCCUACGUGCACUCGCUCAAGGAGGAGGCCAUUCCCAUGCCCGACCAGUCGAGAGCGGAGGCUGUACCGCUAACGCGAUCUCGCCCUAUCGUGCGUAACGUCCGAUCCUUCGUGGGGAUGUGUGCCAGUAAUGCUCAAAUAGGUCCGAAAUCCUUUAGACUGAAUUAACGUGUCCCGUCCAAGGUUAGCUCUGCAGGCCCGUGGGUCCAUCUGAUUAGACAUGGCCCAUGCUUUUCACAGAGGACUGACAAGUAUUGUUUUAUUACAGAUAAAGGAGAGAGAGAGAGCCACAGACCGGGACAAAUAUCUCUUCUUCUUCCUCCAGAUCUCAGUCUGGAACUCACGUCCUCUCUUUUCUCCACUGUAAUUUCUUCAAGAUUGUUCUUCUUUCUCUCGAUGCUGAUGUUCUGUACGAUUUCGUGAAUCAAGAGAAGUACUGUGCAUGGACAGUCCAUGGACGUACGCGGACCAGUACAUCUUCGGUCUCAUGGAUUCAAAUUUGUAGCACUCGUCUAUUUUCGUUUGAAGAUUAUUUUGUACAUCGACCAUUGUUUGUAGAUCGAUGGAACCAGGGGUACCAGAUGGUUGUUCUUCAUCCUGCAGCGCAGCUCCUGGCAGAAAUGUCGGUGGCGGAGGAACUGAUGGGGGAGAUUACAGUGUACAACUUCCUGAAGGAUCGGUGGAAGUUUGGAGUGGUUUUUCCGCCUCAUCUAAAAGAUUCUUCAGUUGAAAUUCUUGGUGUCAGGGUGUACCAAAGAAGGAAGUUCACAGGGAAAACGUACGGGAGCAAAGCAUAGAAGCAGCAAGAAGAAAUGCAAGAUCCGGAGAUGAGUGAAGGAGCGAGUACUUUCUAAAGACCGGAAGGAACAUGAUACAUUCUGCAUGAUAUGUGGAACGAAGGAUAUAUUUUUGUUUAAUGGUACUUACAUUCUGGGAUGAUUGAAACUAUGGUUGGUCAGUUGAACUUAUUUUGUAGUACGUAAGUACUGUAUGGAUGAUCGCACCAUAGACUUAAGUUGGGGUAUGUAAGAACUAUAUGGAUGAUUGAAGUCUAUUCUGAACAAUUAUGCAGGGAAGUACUUUAGGUAUAUAUGGUCCAUGAGUUUGUUGACGAUCAUAUGCAUUGUAGUAUGUACAUAAUUGUACAUGCUUUUCAUGCAAGAACGUCUUGCACUGUCAUGACGUGUAUGUUGUGGCUGAAAACACCUUUGCGACCGGUGCGAUGCGACCUUAAUUACAAGUGGUCCUUUCUGUAUUGUUGGAUGACCUAAGCUAAUCGCAAACAAAACCUGAGUUAUGGUUGUUUGGUUCAUGUCUUCAGACUCAACACCCGGGGACACAGUCGAGUAGAAGAGUUAUUGGGAAGAAGGUCGCGUGAGGAAUCAGCACAUUAGUCACAGGAGUUAGAACAGGAUUCAUCUAAUUAUGUAAGAAGUAAAGUACAUGGAAGAACAAUAUUGUACACAACAACAAAGUCAGAUGUAGUUAAUUUAUACCGAACAAGAAGAAGGUACAUAGUACUUUCAUAUGUACCUUAUACUAAAUCCAUGGUCUUAUAUGGAAGAACACAAAGAGAGCUGAAGUUAAA